rnacentral:rRNA from 1 species
UACGUAGGGGGCAAGCGUUGUCCGGAAUCCUUGGGCGUAAAGAGCGUGUAGGCGGCUCGAUAAGUCUGCUGUGAAAGUCCAGGGCUCAACCCUGGAAGGCCGGUGGAAACUGUCGGGCUAGAGUCCGGAAGAGGCGAGUGGAAUUCCCGGUGUAGCGGUGAAAUGCGCAGAUAUCAGGAAGAACACCAAUGGCGAAGGCAGCUCUCUGGGACGGUACUGACGCUGAGACGCGAAAGCGUGGGGAGCGAACAGG